GUCAAGUUGAAGCACGGGUUAAGGAUGCCUAAACAGCCUAUUUUUUUAAUGGCCUAUAAAAGGCCUAAAUCUUUUUUUCUCUCUCUCUUUCUUUUCCCUCAAGCUCUUUCUCCAAAAUUUUUUCCUUUUGUUGACCGUCAUGUGAAUCCAAUUUUUGGUUGGUCAAUGUCACAUUGUUGCCAGAAACUUCAAUUGGUGCCAAAAAAUUUAAAAUUUUUCUAAAUUUUGACCAUUUUCUAAAUUUCGAUAGUAAAAAAAUUCAAACAAUCAUCGGAUCAAAGUUUUUCAUAUUCUGACAACCUAAAAAAUCUAAAAAAAUUACCAAAUAAUCUUUUCAGCCUUCUAACCCAAUUCCUCAACUAGUUUUUCCCAAAAGAAAUUUUGAAAUAGUCUAGAUUAGUAUUUUGUUUCUGGUUUGAAUUUAGCUAUUACUGAUUCCCCAAAAGAGGAUGUGUUAGAUUUUUUUGUUGAUUUUUUUUUUGUCUUUGUAGGUUUGUGAUUUGGGAAGAUCUAGGCAGUGGUAAUGGAGUUAGGUAAAUUUUUUUUUCUUUUUUGCAUAAUGGCAAUGUGAUUUUUUUGUUAAUUCCUAUCUGUUUGUGUUUUCUAUGAAUUGGCUCUCAACUUCUAGAGCCAAUUUGUCAAUUAUAUCAUAAAUUUGAAAGGAUUGUUGAAUGAUUUUGAGAUUACUUGAAAUUUUGCUAUAAAGUUUUGAGGAUGGCAAUGGUAGGUGGUAUUUGAUGCAUCGAAUGUACAUAGACUUUGGGAAAGAAAGAAAGAAAGAAGAAAGAAGAAAGAAGAAACAAAGAAAAAAAAAGACAAAAGAUAAAAGAAAUAAUAAUAAUAAUAAUAUAAUAAUAAUAAAUGAAAAUAAAUAAAAUUUAAAGAUUUAAUAAAAUUUAAAAUGACCCACUAUGAAAUUAAUCCAAUAAACUCAACUAAAAG
rnacentral:lncRNA from 1 species